UACGGGGGGAGCAAGCGUUGUUCGGAUUUACUGGGCGUAAAGGCGCGUAGGCGGUCAGCACAAGUCAGUUGUGAAAUCUCCGGGCUUAACUCGGAAAGGUCAACUGAUACUGUGCGACUAGAGUGCAGAAGGGGCAACUGGAAUUCUCGGUGUAGCGGUGAAAUGCGUAGAUAUCGAGAGGAACACCUGCGGCGAAGGCGGGUUGCUGGGCUGACACUGACGCUGAUGCGCGAAAGCGUGGGGAGCGAUCCGG
rnacentral:rRNA from 1 species